AUUGUGUGGAAUAUAUUUAUAACCAAUGAGGGCAUAUAAAAGUUAAUUGUUUUCAAGACAAUUGAUAAUCCACGUAAGUCGGGGACUGUCGUUUAUGAAAGAACUUCCCGUAAUCAAGUUCGCUUUAUGGCUUCAUUGAACCACGUAGUCACUGUGUUAAAUAUAUCUAUAUACAUUAGUUGGCUUUACAUAUGCAUAACAUAGAGCGUACUAUAUAAAGUCUAGUAAUUUUAUCCUGGCCCUCAUCUAACUUGCUCGACUUUCCGUACACUCGAUGCUGCUAUUGAAUUGCACUGUGAGGUGCGCCGGACUUGCAGUGUCAGCAGCAGUACGACUUCCGACACCGUUUUAAUUGCCGGACUAACGGUAGUGACUCGCCAUUUUGUUUCGGAAUCAGUUUCGUCCCUGCUCGUACGGGUGAUCCUGUUCCACGUUCAUCCAGUAUGCACCUGCUGAUUACCAUGCAUAAACUUACGCUGCACUCUUGUGGUGUUGGGUCUGUAUCUCCUGUGUUCGCGAUCCCACGUUUCAGGAUGUCGACGCCAGUCCUCGUCGCCAGCAAUUCCAGUUCCUCCUCCGCCACCAGCUAAGCCCUGAAGACCCUGAAGAGUUUGAAGGGCUUGAAGAUUGGUUGUGAGGGGUCUGUUUCUCACAGAGGGCACAGAUCAUCUAAUAUAUGCAGUGCACCGGGUAUAUACCGUGUGAAUGCUCCUGAGGUAACCUCACGAUUCUCUUAUCUUGCGACACAAAGAAAAAGAAAAAGAGAGAAAAGAAGAUGCGACAUCUCGUUUACUUUCUCAGACCGUGACCUCUCCCACGUCGGCUCGACCGUCACGAGGUAAAAGUUACGUCAAGAGGUCACUGACAACCACAGUAGUACAGUCGAUACCAGUCAAAGCGACCAUAGAAUGAUGAUGAUGAUGAUGAUGAUGAUGAUGACGAGAAAAAAAUUUUUUAAUAAAAAGGAUAAUCGCAUUCGCGCGUGACCAACUCCUUAUGAGUUCAUUCACUUUGAUACACAAGGAACUCGGAUUGACGUCCCUAAGAAUUCUCACUCGGUGUCGUGUCUGCUUGUUUAUUCCCAGAUAACAAAACGAGGGAACGAGCGAAGAAAGAGAGAAGGAAAAUAAAAGAAAAAUAUUCAAAAGAACUAGAACAAGAAUCUUCUAUUUUCUCAUGGCGAGUAGUCACGACCUGUCAUACCGACGGACACGCAAGGCCGUCCAACUAUACUGAGAUCGUUAGGGCGCGUUCUCAGGAAGGACCGUGGGUUGUAUUUUUACAAGAUGCAUAACUUCCUACUGCUACUUCACGACCGACCACGAGGAUCCAGGAUCAGGAUAAGGCACUGACCUCCAGCCACGAGAUCCUUUGAGAUAUCCUCUUGGAAAGCUUCCUCUACGUCCUCGAACGACUUUCUUAUCCCCACCUAGAUGCACGUGCAGCGACCUCGCUCGUCCUUGUAACAGUCGUGCAACCGUUAAAUCGCAAAAAGAUCAUCCCCGAUGGCAAUGACUAUCCCGCUUGGAGAAGCAACAUCAUAUACAAUCAAGAUUUUCUUGAAUAUGAGAUCAAAUAUUAUCUAGUUAAAGGACCGAUGACCGUAUGAAACAUAAUUUAAUUAAGAUGGUUCAUGUAAAACGGAAAUCCAAUAUUUUUGGAUUAAACGCAUGAAAUAAUAAGCGAUACUGUUAAAGGGGA